UGUCGGAUUAUUGUCGUUCCCAUAAGUGGUAACAGUGCUGUUGCAAGUUUAGCCUGUUGGUUCCGAGCACCUGAGCUACAUGUUUUAAGAUUCAUCUCCUGUCUGCUUUUUUCCCUACACCAGCCUGUCUCGCCGCCUGCUCGCCUGCCUGUUUCUUUGUGCGCUGGCCCAUUUUUUGGAUCUGUGACAGAGACUUACCUGGCGCUGGCCUGCGAUCGUUGUUACUCCUGUAUCCUGGUGUUUCAAGUAGCUCUGGUUUGCGCAUCUAUCUGUCUGCGUACCUUGGCUCCGUUCCGUUCCCCCUCGGCUCUGUUUAUUUGCACAUUUAUUUGGUUAUUGUAUAUAGCCCUGUCCCCUUGUAAAUAUUUCCUGAUUACGGUUAAUAAAUCUGCUUCACCGCUGUUCUGCGCCUGUGUGUGUUUCUGCCACUGAAUCCAUCUGUUUAAAUGAACCUAACAACAUUCUCUGUCAUAUGGGCCUGCAUGAAUCAACUUUCUGAAUCCUUUAUCAUCCGCAACUGAAAAUAGUUGUGGACCAUUACUAUACCUUUCUAAUGUGACGUUUUUGUCCCUGGCUCUCUUUCUCUCUCUUUCCCUCCGUCUCUGUUUCUGUGCUACUGCGAGUGUAACUACCCCCCCUUUCCCCUCUGCCCAGCGCAAAGCACAAGGCUCGCGUGCGGACUGAAGCGGAAAAAAAGUGCGAGAGAGAGGGUGAGAGAAGGAAAAAAAAAACCCCCACGGCUCGCGAUAAGGAGCCGGCUCGCGUCAUUCACGUCAAAGAUCCGGCUCUAAGAGCCAUUUCGUUCGCGACCGACACAUCACUAGUAAGCGGAGUAUCAUCUCACUUUAAUUCGCAUGACAUCGAGCUGUAUAUCAAAAAACUAAAUAGGGUUAAAUAUUACUGACCCGUAUAAUGCUCCCGGCGUGCUUUUCAAAAGUAUUUCAGCGGAAAAAGACGUCCCAGGUCUAUGCUAUCCAGACAUAUAUAACUACCGUAUAACCUUCCUAUCGUCCUACCUGGGGGACUCUUUAAAAGCUUAUAAAAGCCUGGAGGAUUACAAAUGGACUCAAUCUGGCUUUGUAACAAACAUUCAGCUGUGGAAUCUUCAAGCAAAAAAAAUUCUGCAUCAUCACUGGAAAGGUAAGUGUCAUGUUAUCCCAGGCGGUGUAACGUUAGCAUUGUUAGCGUGGUCCGCGUUGUCGUUUGUUUAAAUUAGCUUGGCUAAAACGCGUCUGGUUGUCAGUACCUAUUUUGUGUUUCUGAUGUACUUAACCAAGAUUGUUAACAUUGGACCAACUGUAUCACAACCUCUCCCAAUGCCGCACACAAGAGGGGAAGAUCAUCAAACCCUAAAUUAAAAUUCUAAAUUAAUGCUAUUUUGUUAUUAAUAUAAUUCAGUGUUUUAUAUUGCACCUUACCACUGAAUCAAGUGGCUAGUUUGUAGAUUUUUGUUCACUGAAAAAGGCAAAAAAAAAAAUUUUUCUUAAUUUAAUUCUGAUCUGUAUCUCUCAAUCAGGAAUAUGAAACAUGGUUAGUGGAAAUCAUUUGAGAUAGAUAUGAAGAUCAAAAAAUAGUGAGCCCAGGUGACAUCUGCCAUACUCUUAUUCUGAUAUUUGUAGGACAAGUAAGAAAGCUUUCCCUUCAAAAGUCAAGUCACAAUAAGCGAACAAAAAGUGAGAGUUAAUAAUGUGUAUUUGUUGGUUGAGCACAUCAGUCACAUAAUUUUCAUCUACACUGAAAGGGCACCACAGAUUCAGAUACAUUUGUAAGCGCACAACAUACACCCACAAUUUUGUCAAGAUAGGUCACAUAAUUUUCUCUGUCUAUCUCUGUGAAAGUUAUGGGGACAGUGAUUUUGACGGAGAACACCUAUUACUCUUUUAUAUGUAUCCUGAGAGAACCAAGACAUCUGGUUUUCUCCAAAUCAACAGGUUCAAACUGUUUCUUUCCAUGAGUAAAUGCUGGAAUCUUUAACUCUGCUUGGCAUGUCUGAAUGGACUCUUUAACCAGGAAACCCGUCUGCUAAAACU
rnacentral:lncRNA from 1 species